rnacentral:rRNA from 1 species
UACGUAGGGGGCAAGCGUUGUUCGGAAUUACUGGGCGUAAAGCGCGCGUAGGCGGACUGGCAAGUCAGAUGUGAAAGCCCCGGGCUCAACUUGGGAACUGCAUUUGAUACUGCCAGACUAGAGUACAGAAGAGGUGACUGGAAUUCCCAGUGUAGCGGUGAUAUGCGUAGAUAUCGGGAGGAACACCUGUGGCGAAGGCGGCUUUCUGGGCCUUACCUGACGCUGAGACGCGAAAGCGUGGGGAGCGAACCGG